UAUUACAUAGUAUGUUAUUGUCGGGUGACAGAGACGUAUGGAAGUGAGCAGGUACUGAGGGACCCAGUCAUCACCACCUGUGGACCACAGUUUCUGCAAGCAGUGCAUCACAGCUGCUGGGCUGGGGCUGACCCACCCGGAGGCGCUACCUGUCCCAGGUGUGCAGGCCAACGCAGUGCCCAGUCUCAACCACCAGGGGCAAACUAUGCUCAGGGAUGCAUUGACCCAUCUCUUCUCUCAGCUCCUGUCGUGAGCUCCACCACCACAGCUGAAGGUGGAAGCAGCAUCUUUAACCCCUCGUUGGCUGGCUGUAAUAUCUAUGGACCGGUUACAUUCAACAGUGGAAACACACUCCACCAUUGGCGGUAAGGUGCUACUUUACCUUACGUGCCGAGGUUCUGCUCAAGGUUUCUUCCUGUUUCUUCUUCCUUCCAGGGAGUUUUUAGUUUUUUCUUGCCUCUGUGGUGAAGCGCCUUGACAUAAUUGUAUUGUUUUGGCGCUAUAUACAUAAAAUUGAAUUGAAUAUAUGAUGGACAUUUUUUGCUUCAACACAAUAUGUGAAUUGUGUUCUCUUUUUUCUUUCAAACGAAGGAAGAAGAUGGUCAGAGAAAGAACCAGGUAAACAGUCAUAAUAAGUCAUAUUUUUGAUGUAGAGCUGUGAUUUAUGAUGAAGUGGUCAUCUCAGACUAUACUUCAAUUUUUUUAUAUAUUGUUUUUUAGCUUAUACAUCUUUCAUUGAAACACAUAAUU
rnacentral:lncRNA from 1 species